rnacentral:rRNA from 1 species
AUUGAACGCUGGCGGCAGGCCUAACACAUGCAAGUCGAACGCGUGGCGGACGGGUGAGUAAUGUGUGGGGAACUGCCCGAUGGAGGGGGGUAACUCCUCGAAAAGGUAGCUAAUACCGCAUACCAUCGGAUGUGCCCCGAUGGGAUUAGCUGGUAGGUGUGGUAACGGCUCACCUAGGCGACGAUCCCUCGCUGGUCUGAGAGGAUGACCAGCCACACUGGAACUGAGACACGGUCCAGACUCCUACGGGAGGCAGCAGUGGGGAAUAGUGCACAAUGGGCGCAAGCCUGAUGCAGCCAUGCCGCGUGUAUGAAGAAGGCCUUCGGGUUGUAAAGCACUUUCAGCGAGGAGGCGUUACUCGCAGAAGAAGCACCGGCUAACUCCGUGCCAGCAGCCGCGGUAAUAC